rnacentral:rRNA from 1 species
AUGGGAAAGAAGUCCCGUCGACGUCGUGUUCCAUCCUCCCGCCACCACCGGCCGUUCGUCGGCUCUUGCGUUCCCUGGGUGAUGCUGGACCGAAUCGCCCACCGCACCAAGGGGGGCGGGGAUCGGGUCGUUCGGGACGAGGUGGCCGACGGCACGCUGUCGGAGAUCUCAUCCACCUGCACGGGCAAGCCCAUCGCCGUCUCCCUCCGGGUCGCGGAGCCCCCGGAGGUGUCCCGCCUCUACCUCCACUGGCCGGACGGGCUCAGGCCGGAGAUGAGGGACGUGAACAGGCCAACCGUCAUCGCGGCGCAUGGCGACUCGAUACUCUUCGAGACGUACGUCCCCCUCGACGCAUGCGGCCUUAGCACCACCAGUUACCCCAUCGACUAUUUCGUCUACACGGCCCCCUCCCGCCCCAAGAUCGGGUCCCCAUCGCUCCUCUGGCGACUACCGACAUGCUUCGAGAACGGCCGGGUGGACGCUGCUAUGACGGAUCACUACUGCAAGCCGUACCUGAGUCGUGAUCAACGGGCAAUGUGGCGCGGAAACAUCGGUCUCCUGUGCCGUGGCGACGGUGGGUUCACGGUGGCGAACCUCGCGGUGGGCGUUCAACAGCCGUGCCUCUGUCUCGGUGAGUUCUCGGUGCUGCACCAUACGCCCGCGGAGACGGAGAUGAAGUGGGAGGUCAAGCAGCUGCCAGCGCCAGUGCCUUGUGACGGCCAUGACGGCCCCCCGAACCUUUUGAUCGGUGGUCGUCCCUGCUCCUGGGAAACUGACAUUGUCAUCCCCUUUGAAUUUGAUGGUCGCCAUUUCUUGUGCUGGGUCGACCUCUAUCUGGGCUUGAUGUUUGUGGACGUCACCGCCAAACAUCCACCGCCGCCGCGUUACGCCCGGUUACCCGUGGAGCUGGAUCAACGUCGUCUCUACAUCGACGCCGGGGCCCCUGACCCAGCCCGCCGCGUCUGCGUCACCGACGCAUGCAUUAUGCAGCUCAUUAGCAUCAACAACGACGCAGGACGCAGCGUGCUCGACCGCUCGUGUUCUGCUUUCAGCAUCUCAACCUGGACCUUAGAGUUAGAGACGAUGCAAUGGCACAAGGUCGUCGCCAUCAGAUCCGACAAAUUCUGGGCCGCUAUUGACACAGACAAGCGUCUUCCACGCCUCCUGCCAGAGUUUCCAACCAUGAGCAUGGUUGAUCCUGAUGAUGUUUGCUUCACGUUGGAGGAUAGGUACCACAAUUUCUGGCUGGUAAACGUCGACAUUAAGAACAAGGUCCUGGGGGCUGUCGCGCUCUACAUCAACGAAGAAGAAGAAGAAGAGGAAGGAUGCACCGCUGGUGUGUUCUAUGGCAACUCCUUUAUCACCAGUCAGUUCACCAGGUACAUGGAUAAGGAUGCUAUCAAAAGUCUUGAAAUGAGCAAGAAAUUGCAGCGAGCAAAACAGGAGCGGGUCAUGGAAAAGAUGGACUAA